CAGUCGCCGCGGGAAUACAGAGGGUGCGAGCGUUAAUCGGAUUUACUGGGCGUAAAGCGUGCGUAGGCGGCUUCUUAAGUCGGAUGUGAAAUCCCUGAGCUUAACUUAGGAAUUGCAUUCGAUACUGGGAAGCUAGAGUAUGGGAGAGGAUGGUAGAAUUCCGGGUGUAGCGGUGAAAUGCGUAGAGAUCUGGAGGAAUACCGAUGGCGAAGGCAGCCAUCUGGCCUAAUACUGACGCUGAGGUACGAAAGCAUGGGGAGCAAACAGGAUUAGAUACCCGUGUAGUCCCUGUCUCUUAUAC
rnacentral:rRNA from 1 species